rnacentral:misc_RNA from 1 species
AAAGUCGUAACAAGGUUUCCGUAGGUGAACCUGCGGAAGGAUCAUUAACACGUUCCACGUAUCAACCCGCGCACUUGUGUUUCGAUUUGAUUAAGCUCCAGAAGGUCCUGUAAAAACCGCUCAACAGUCCGCAAACCACCGAUGAGGAAACAGGCUGCAUAAGCCUGGCGGCUGUCGGAUUACAUGUCCUCACUACUUUCGCAUUCAGUUGCGAGAGAGCGAGGGAGGCUCUGGAUGUCUGGUCAUGUCUCUAUUCCUUAUCGGACUUUUUUUCAACUAUUUACCCCUGUUUACACAUCGUACUAAUUCUAUACUACAUUUCUGGAUGGCCUUUCGAGGCCUGAUGGAAAAGCAAACCUUAAGAACAACUCUUAACAACGGAUAUCUUGGCUCUC